rnacentral:misc_RNA from 1 species
AAGUCGUAACAAGGUUUCCGUAACUUCUCAUUUGUCAGAGGUCCCGAAUCAAUACUGUUCAACAAUGAUUUACCGGGAUUGCUGGAUCGCACUGGGCUAGGAGAACAGGUCUAAAGGUUCACAGGGGGGUUUUUACGUUGGAUACGUGUUAAUGAUCCUUCCGCAGGUUCACCUACAGUUAGGAUAUGAGCGGAGAUAGCUGCAUGGCAUCCCGAAGCAGUCGGUGUCUGAAAGUGUCAUUGAUUGUCUAAGGAUCUCGCUUCUACGAUUGCUUAGGGUCGCUCACCGACCAGCAGACAUGCAACCGGGUCCCCAUGCCCCUUUAAAACCCGAAUAACAUCUGUGAGCAAACGGACCGUCCAGUUUGCUAAAAAAACCUCGAACAACUGUUAACAAUGGAUAUCUUGGUUCUC